rnacentral:rRNA from 1 species
UACGUAGGGGGCUAGCGUUGUCCGGAAUCAUUGGGCGUAAAGCGCGCGUAGGCGGCCCGGUAAGUCCGCUGUAAAAGUAAAAGGCUCAACCUUUGAAUGUCAGUGGAUACUGCCGGGCUAGAGUCCGGAAGAGGCGAGUGGAACUCCUGGUGUAGCGGUGGAAUGCGCAGAUAUCAGGAAGAACACCGACGGCGAAGGCAGCUCGCUGGGACGGUACUGACGCUGAGGCGCGAAAGCGUGGGGAGCGAACAGG